UGUACGUCUACCAUUUUCCACGCAUUUAUAUCUAGGCUAUAAGGUGAGGAUGAGAUUAAACGAGAAGAUCCGUGUAGAAAUGAGUGACAGCUCGUAGAUGUCAUAUUGAUAUUAUACACAGCCAACAUAAUAAUAUACAGAUACAAGACAAGUAAGAUGAUCUGGAAUUACAUCGUUUUAAUCUCUGUUUACCAGCCUUCUCAUCCGGUAAUGAACGAACGAAGAAGGUUCUACUAAUCUCCAUGGAUGAAUUUAGAUGGGAUUAUCUAGAUAUGGUUCUAGAUUUACCCAACAUCAACAAGAUGGCGGGUAAUGGGGUGAAAUUGCAGUAUGUAAACAACACUUUUAUCACAACCACUUUUGCUACACAUUACUCCAUAGCAACGGGAUUGUGGGAAGAGCACCAUGGAAUUGUUGGUAAUCAAAUGUAUGAUCCCGUGUUUAACGAGGAAUUUAGUUAUGGUCCAAAUAUAGAAAAAUGGUGGAACGGGGGAGAACCAAUCUGGAUAACAGCAACUAAAC